GGGGCUGUGACUCAGCAGUAGAGUGCUCACCUUGCAAAUGUGAAGCCCUGGGUUCAAUCCUCAGCACCA
rnacentral:tRNA from 1 species